ensembl:snRNA U4 U4 spliceosomal RNA
AUCUUUGUGCAGUGGCAGUAUCGUAGCCUAUGAGGUUUAUCCGAGGCGUGAUUAUUGCUAGUUGAAAACUUUACCCAAUACCCCGCCUUGCCGACUUGAAAUAUAGUCAGCAAUGGCAAUUUUUGAUGGUCUCUCAGAAGA